ACGAAGGGUGCUAGCGUUGUUCGGAAUUACUGGGCGUAAAGCGCGCGUAGGCGGCUUUUCAAGUCAGGGGUGAAAUCCUGAGGCUCAACCUCAGAAUUGCCUUUGAAACUGUAAAGCUUGAGUGUCGGAGGGGAUAGCGGAAUUGCUAAUGUAGAGGUGAAAUUCGUAGAUAUUAGCAGGAACACCGGUGGCGAAGGCGGCUAUCUGGACGACAACUGACGCUGAGGCGCGAAAGCGCGGGGAUCAAACAGGA
rnacentral:rRNA from 1 species